GGCUUUGAAAUCUAAACCCCAUACUCAAAGAGUGUAAUUAUACAUCCAUCCACCCAUUUUCUGAGCCGCUUAUCCUCACGACGUCCCCAGCUGUCAUCGGGCAGGAGGCGGGGUGUUAACUCCACACAGGGCUCCCCCCCCUUACUGGUCUUCGUCAUCGCUAUCCUCGCCUUCGCUCUCCUCCAGCAGGCGGGACUGGCGGGCCAGCCGCUGCGCCACGGCCGUCACCAUGGCGGCGCCUUUGCCGCUGCCGUCCUCCGAGAGCAGCACGCGUUGGUACCCGUGCCUGCGCCAACGGAGACAGAAGGGCAGUCGGUCACGUAAGGGCGGAGUGCGUCGUUGCGCGUGCUGCGACGCGUGUUCACCGAUGAUCAUGCCGAUCUCGCAGCUUUGGUCCCUGUAGCCGCAACUCAUCAUGGUGCCCACCGUGUCGUUGACCAUGGCGAUGGAGCCGACGUCGUAAUCCUGGAGCUUCACCACAUCUUGUCCCUCCACUCCGGAGCACUGGAAGCCUUUAGUCCAGCGGAUCAAGAUGCUCUGCGGUGGACGCAAAGUGACAGUGUCAUUUUAAAAAAAAUGCAUUGAAAAUAAAUAAAG